rnacentral:rRNA from 1 species
AUUGAACGCUGGCGGCAGGCCUAACACAUGCAAGUCGAGCGGAUGAAGGGAGCUUGCUCCUGGAUUCAGCGGCGGACGGGUGAGUAAUGCCUAGGAAUCUGCCUGGUAGUGGGGGAUAACGUCCGGAAACGGGCGCUAAUACCGCAUACGUCCUGAGGGAGAAAGUGGGUGAUCUUCGGACCUCACGCUAUCAGAUGAGCCUAGGUCGGAUUAGCUAGUUGGUGGGGUAAAGGCCUACCAAGGCGACGAUCCGUAACUGGUCUGAGAGGAUGAUCAGUCACACUGGAACUGAGACACGGUCCAGACUCCUACGGGAGGCAGCAGUGGGGAAUAUUGGACAGUGGGCGAAAGCCUGAUCCAGCCAUGCCGAGUGUGUGAAGAAGGUCUUCGGAUUGUAAAGCACUUUAAGUUGGGAGGAAGGGCAGUAAGUUAAUACCUUGCUGUUUUGACGUUACCAACAGAAUAAGCACCGGCUAACUUCGUG